rnacentral:rRNA from 1 species
ACUACGGGUGGCAGCAGUGAGGAAUAUUGGUCAAUGGACGAGAGUCUGAACCAGCCAAGUAGCGUGAAGGAUGACUGCCCUAUGGGUUGUAAACUUCUUUUAUAUGGGAAUAAAAUGUUCCACGUGUGGGAUUUUGUAUGUACCAUAUGAAUAAGGAUCGGCAAACUCCGUGCCAGCAGCCGCGGGAAUACGGAGGAUCCGAUCGUUAUCCGGAUUUUUUGGGAUUAAAGGUAAGGUAGGGGGAUUGGUAAGUCAGUUGUGAAAGUUUUCGGUUCAACCGUAAAAUUGCAGUUGAAACUGGCAGUCUUGAGUACAGUAGAGGUGGGCGGAAUUCGUGGUGUAGCGGUGAAAUGCUUAGAUAUCACGAAGAACUCCGAUUGCGAAGGCAGCUCACUGGACUGCAACUGACACUGAGGCUCGAAAGUGUGGGUAUCAAACAGGAUUAGAUACCCUUGUAGUC